AAGGCAGCGCGCGUAAGUUUCCUUUUCCUCUUAAUCGCGGGACAUCGCAGCGAGAGGCCACACAUGCAGCGAGCAGAGCAAAGAGUGAGCAGAGAGCGAUAAAGCGGAGUGAAUAUAAAGCUUAAAGAGAGCGUCAUUCGCUUCCUCAUUCAGCGGCACCACAUGGAGAGGCAGAAUCGCUUCUUCACUCGGUGGUGAAAUUCGUGAAUAUCGGUCAGGUCUUGAAGUAUACCGGUUUUCAGGCCUUGAAGUGGACCGGUCUUUAGGCCUUGAGGUUUU